CUUUGCUGGGCCGAAGGGGCGGAGCUGACCUGGCGAAAAAAGGUGGGAAAGAUGCAGGAACAGAAGAUGAGGACGGGAUCUUGAAUGGGACAAACUAAUGCAGAUGCAAAACAUGAGAGACAGAAAAUCAAGCCGUUUGAGGGCCGAAGAAAAUGGGCGACAUUUUAUGUGGAAAUUUUCCUACUCCCAGAUGCCUAUGCUGCCAUUAUGAAGAGAAAGAUUCAUCACAGCAAGACAACAUGCAACCAUUACUGAAACCAAGAAGAAGUCUUCCGUUUGGGAAUGUCUCAUCCUACUUGCAUCUUGAGACACUGAGUGAAGGUCCUCACUCUGUGGUGUGCAAAGGAAUCAGCAGUAGAAUAUACAAUCAGCUGGUAGCUUUGAAAGUCAUCAGCCUAAACACUGAGGAGGGAAUCCCUUUUACAGCCAUAAGAGAAGUUUCCCUCCUCAAGAGCCUGAAGCAUGCCAAUAUUGUGCUCCUUCAUGACAUCUUCCAGACCAAAGAGAGCCUGACUUUAGUCUUGGAGUACAUGCAUACGGACUUGGCACAGUACUUAUCUCAGCACCCUGGGGGCCUUCAUCCUCAUAAUGUUAUGCUUUUCAUGUUCCAGCUUCUGAGAGGGUUGGCUCACAUCCAUAAGUGCCAUAUCCUUCAUCGAGAUCUGAAACCUCAGAAUUUGCUCCUGAAUUGCUAUGGAGAGCUUAAAUUAGCUGAUUUUGGUCUUGCUCGUGCUAAAUCUGUCCCCAACCAAACAUACUCUGCUGAGGUGGUGACUCUUGGCUAUCGUCCUCCUGAUGUUCUGCUUGGAGCCACUGAUUAUUCAUCAGAUGUGGAUAUUUGGAGUGCAGGCUGCAUAUUUGUGGAGAUGCUUCAUGGUCAACCACUGUUUCCAGAUGUUAGCAAUAUCUUUGACCAAUUAGAGAAAAUCUGGAUAGUAUUGGGGAUCCCAUCUGAAGAAACAUGGCCAGGAGUUUCCAAGCUUUGCCACUAUAAGCCAGACAGAUUCCUUGGCAAUAGGCCUCAGGGGCUCCAGAUUAUCUGUGACAGUCACUGCAGUUGCUUCACUUCCCUUUGGGCUGAGCUAAUAUUAAAGUAUCUGAGUGUCACAUAUAUUCUUCAAUUGCAAUCUGGUCAAGGUGCCUGAGGCUGAAGAUUUGGCAGAAAGAAUGCUAAAAGUAUAUCCACAAAAUAGGAUUUCUGCACAACAGGCACUUUUUCAUCAGUUCUUCAAUCCACUGCCCUUUCAACAGAGCCAGCUUUCUAAUGCACAGUCCAUCUUCUCAGUACCCGGAGUGAUGCUCAAACAAGAAAUGUGUGACCUCUUUUUUUCAUCUCAGAAGGGCCAUCAGGAAUAUAGUUCAAGCAACUUUUGGUGAAAGAAAUGAAGGAUUUUUUUUUUCAAGAGAGAAAGGAGGCAAAGAAAUAAAACCAUAUUGUUUAUUAUCAUUAGCUAAGACAAAUGGGGAUAAACUAUGUACCAAUAUUACAAAUCCUGGAUUUCAAUAUAUAAGCCCAGCGAUUGGAUUACUGAUGGGUGGCAGAGGAAGAGAUGUGGAUAUAGUACAAAAACAGAACUUUUCUUUCUGCAGUUCCAGGACACAACUCUUAAUAAUACCAAACUUUCCAAACAUGGGGAGUGGAACAUAAUGUACUACAGCAUCUGUUUUAUUUGUACCAGUUGAAUGCUAAUUGUCCAGAAAUACUAUCCUAUACUGACCUUCUGCCAUUGUUAAUGGAAUUAUUCCUUUACAGGUUCCACAUUAAUGAAAACUUUUAAAAUGGACAUUGUGGAUAGCUGAUUUAACAUUUAGCUGAAUUCUUUGCUUCUGAACAUUCUGAACAUUCAUGAAUCUUCUGUCUACAGUUUAGUCCCAUACCGCCCCAUAGCAUCAAUAGCAGAAUAUUCAAUUGUAACCUAACCUUGUGCAGGUGCUGUUUUAUCUUUAUAUAUUUCCAAGACUUUAUAUUAUAUUUCCAAGACUAUACUCACCAGUUCCUGGAAAGCAAGGAGGGAGUUGCUGGGGUGAUUUGAUUCAGUAGUAUUUGAAGGCUGAAGGUUAUUGUUAUAUCUAAGGUUCAAAUGAUGUUAGCCAAUUUUACAGGAAAUCCAUUGUUUAUGGAAGCCAUGGAACUAAAUCUCUUGACUCUCAGAUUUGCUUGGUAUCUUUGCUUGGUGGCACGUGUGCCAGAGGCGGCACUCAGAGCCCUCUCUGUUUGCACACGCACCAUUGUCACCAGCAGCAGGUGCAUCAGGCCACCACUGCUGCCCGGAGCAGGAGCUUCGCCCAGCACAAAGGAGGUAAAGUGGCCGACCAGCAAGCUUGAGUAGAGGUGGUAGAGCAGAGGUCACCAACCAUUGGGAGGUGGAAGCAUUUUGCAUGCAUGCACGCACGGGGCCGUGAGCACACACGUGCUGAAAAUGGGGCAGGGCUAGUGCCUGCGUGAUACUAGCCCUGCCCCGUUCUUGCAUGGUGCAGCGCCUUGUAUCUGCACCCCACGGCACGACUGUUUUUGCACCUUGCAGCAUGGUGGCCCAUUUUUGCGCCCCCAGUUUUUGUGUGCCAGAGGUGGCGCUCAGAGGCACCUUCCUGCCCCUCCAUGAGGGCACCACAAUGCUGAUGUGGCCCAGGCACUUUGUGAUAAAUAAGUGGGUUUGGAGUUGCGGUUUGGGCACUCGGUCUCUAAAAGGUUCGCCAUCACUGGUGUAUGGUGUUUUUAAAAAAAGUCUGAGACAUAAACUUUUCUCAUUUUUGUGGGCCAAAAAGAAAAUAUUGUAUUAAUUCACACUUAUUGCAGCAACAUAUUUAACCCUUUCAGACCCAAUUUGGAGAGUUCAAACAUUUUCUAUUUGUCCAGUGUUAAGUUUGAUUCACCACAUUUUCACAUUAAUAUAAGUUUUAAACAAAGUCAUACAAAAGUCAUACAUAUUUCUCUUUAAUAUAACUACAUAACCAUACUGUUUACAAUUCUGUCAUACAUACAUUUUUGCAAUACGUUUUUCACAGUAUGUAAUUUUAGGCGUUAUUUCACUAGUAUAAACAUUUGUUUACACCCUUCCCUAAUACAAAUGCUUCUGCAUGUUAAUGUUUAAUUGGAGAAGUGGAAGAUUUUUAAAAAAUGCUUAUGUCAAACAAUACUUGAGUUUUUGUUGUCACUUGGUCUGAAAGUGUAAAAUUUAAGUAAUAUUAAAUGCAAGUUGAACUA